UACAGAGGUCCCAAGCGUUGUUCGGAUUCACUGGGCGUAAAGGGUGCGUAGGUGGCAGUGUAAGUCUGAUGUGAAAGCUUCGAGCUUAACUCGAAAAUGGCAUUGGAUACUAUAUUGCUGGAGGUUUGGAGGGGGGACUGGAAUUCUCGGUGUAGCAGUGAAAUGCGUAGAUAUCGAGAGGAACACCGGUGGCGAAGGCGAGUCCCUGGACAACAACUGACACUGAGGCACGAAAGCUAGGGGAGCAAACAGG
rnacentral:rRNA from 1 species